rnacentral:rRNA from 1 species
UAACGGCGAGUGAAGCGGCAACAGCUCAAAUUUGAAAUCUGGCCCCUUUUCGGGGUCCGAGUUGUAAUUUGCAGAGGGUGCUUUGGCAUAGGCGGCGGUCUAAGUUCCUUGGAACAGGACAUCGCAGAGGGUGAGAAUCCCGUAUGUGGGCGCCUGCCUUUGCCGUGUAAAGCCCCUUCGACGAGUCGAGUUGUUUGGGAAUGCAGCUCUAAAUGGGAGGUAAAUUUCUUCUAAAGCUAAAUACUGGCCAGAGACCGAUAGCGCACAAGUAGAGUGAUCGAAAGAUGAAAAGUACUUUGGAAAGAGAGUCAAAAAGCACGUGAAAUUGUUGAAAGGGAAGCGCUUGCAGCCAGACUUGCCCGUAGUUGCUCACCCAGGCUUUUGCCCGGGGCACUCUUCUGCGGGCAGGCCAGCAUCAGUUCGGGCGGUUGGAUAAAGGCCUCUGUCACGUAUCUCUCUUCGGGGAGACCUUAUAGGGGAGGCGUAAUGCGACCAGCCCGGACUGAGGUCCGCGCAUCUGCUAGGAUGCUGGCGUAAUGGCUGUAAGCGGCCCGUCUUGAAACACGGACCAAGGAGUCUAACAUCUAUGCGAGUGUUUGGGUGUCAAGCCCGGGCGCGCAAUGAAAGUGAACGGAGGUGGGAACCCCUCGGGGUGCACCAUCGACCGAUCCUGAAGUCUUCGGAUGGAUUUGAGUAAGAGCAUAGCUGUUGGGACCCGAAAGAUGGUGAACUAUGCUUGAAUAGGGUGAAGCCAGAGGAAACUCUGGUGGAGGCUCGCAGCGGUUCUGACGUGC